rnacentral:rRNA from 1 species
UACGUAGGUGGCAAGCGUUGUCCGGAUUUACUGGGCGUAAAGCGUAUGCAGGCGGAAGCGUAAGUAGGAAGUGAAAGGUUGGGGCUCAACCCUAACACGGCUCCCUAUACUGCGUUUCUGGAGGGCCGGAGAGGACAAGGGAACGGGUCGUGUAGCGGUGAAAUGCGUUGAGAUGACUCGGAACACCAAUGGCGAAAGCACUUGUCUGGACGGCACCUGACGCUGAGAUACGAAAGCCAAGGGAGCGAACAGG